rnacentral:rRNA from 1 species
UAAGGAAUAUUGGUCAAUGGACGCAAGUCUGAACCAGCCAUGCCGCGUGAAGGAUGAAGGUCCUCUGGAUUGUAAACUUCUUUUAUCUGGGACGAAAACGGGAUUUUUAUCUCAAUUGACGGUACCAGAGGAAUAAGCACCGGCUAACUCCGUGCCAGCAGCCGCGGUAAUACGGAGGGUGCGAGCGUUAUCAGGAUUUACUGGGUUUAAAGGGUGCGUAGGUGGGCUUAUAAGUCAGUGGUGAAAUCUCCGAGCUUAACUUGGAAACUGCCGUUGAUACUAUAGGUCUUGAAUUAUCUGGAGGUAAGCGGAAUAUGUCAUGUAGCGGUGAAAUGCUUAGAUAUGACAUAGAACACCAAUUGCGAAGGCAGCUUACUACAUAUAAAUUGACGCUGAGGCACGAAAGCGUGGGGAUCAAACA